rnacentral:rRNA from 1 species
GCCUGUUUAUCAAAAACAUGGCUCUUUGUAUAAGAUAAAUAGAGAGUUAGACCUGCCCGGUGAUAUUAUUUUAACGGCCGCGGUACUUUGACCGUGCAAAGGUAGCAUAAUCAUUUGCUCUAUAAUUGAGGGCUGGUAUGAAUGGUUUGACGAAAGUAUGACUGUCUCUUUGUGAUUUUCUAGAAUUUUAUAUUUAGGUGAAGAAGCCUGAGUGUUAUUAAAAGACAAGAAGACCCUAUCGAGCUUAAGGUAAAUGGAUAGAUGUUAAACUAGAAUAGUGAUAUAAAAUAAUCUAUUAAGGGCUUUGGUUGGGGCGACUUAGGGGCAAAUGAAGCUCCCUAAAUAAGGUAGAUAUAGGUUAAUGUUGAUCCAAUAUAUUGAUUAGUAGAAUUAGUUACCGUAGGGAUAACAGCAUUAUCUUUUUUGAGAGUUCUUAUUGAAAAAGAGGUUUGUGACCUCGAUGUUGGACCAGAAUGUCCUAAAGAUGCAGAAGUCUUUGAGGGUUGGUCUGUUCGACCAUUAAAAUUCUACGUGAUCUGAGUUCA